UAUGCUAAGGAUAAAUUAAUGAAAUUUAAAAAAGAGAAACGAAAACCUUUUAAAAUAAAAUUAACACUAGAUAAUUUAUGCUUGGUUAAUUUUUCUAUGCUACACGUCACAAUCUUAUCUAUAAAUAAAACUCUAUAUUUAUACUAGAGUUUGAAGAUCGUUGACGAUUCCAAAAGAAGCAGCUUCGGACCCGAAAACCAAGGACGAAAGGAACCAAAUCGCACGCAAGGAUUUGCUGUUAUAUGGCUAAGAGAGAAUUUGGAAGUGACGUUUCUGAGGAUCUGACAAGGGAGUCAUUAAUCGCUCUAUCUUAUACUCUACCAGAUACAAAUCUUUCUUCAACAGACGUCACCAAAAGCUCAAAGAGCGUGAAGAAUGUUGCAGAAGCUGUAAUUUCUGAUGAAAGAGAGAAAUUUAGAGCUGACUUGAUCUCUAUAUCGUAUGCAGAGUCGCCUGACACCAAGGAUUUACCGGUUUCGACUGAGAAAAACAAGGGUUAGAUAGUUUUCCCAUUUAUGUGAUUGUGUUUAUUUUGUGUGGAUCAUGAUGAACUUUUGGUUACAGCAAAAUAAAUCAGAUGUUUUUUUGUGACUAUUUCAAGUUGAUUUGUGUUUUCUGAAAUGUAAAUCCAUAUUGUUUGUA